rnacentral:tRNA from 1 species
GGAAAUGUGGCUUAGUGGUAGAGUGCUUGCCUAGCACACAUGAAGCCCUGGGUUCAAUUCCUCAAUACCA